UACGAAGGGGGCUAGCGUUGUUCGGAGUUACUGGGCGUAAAGGGCGCGUAGGCGGCCACCGCAAGUCGACUGUGAAAUCUCCGGGCUUAACCCGGAAAGGUCAGCCGAUACUGCGGGGCUAGAGUGCAGAAGGGGCAACUGGAAUUCUCGGUGUAGCGGUGAAAUGCGUAGAUAUCGAGAGGAACACCUGCGGCGAAGGCGGGUUGCUGGGCUGACACUGACGCUGAGGCGCGAAAGCUAGGGGAGCGAACGGG
rnacentral:rRNA from 1 species